CUUCAACAGCUACAAUCACAAUCACAAGCAUUCAAUCAAAUCCACAAAAAAAAAUUCAAUUUUUCAUUUUCAAAAUGGCCGCCACCAAAGUUACCAUGAUCUGUCUGGUCGUCAUUGUUGCAAUUAUCAACAUGGCGUCCGCCCAAAAUGUCCUCAACACUGAUUGUUUGAUAAAUUUGUCUGAUAUGGGAUUCGGGCCAGAAUUCCAAGGAAUUUUGAAUUCUAUUGUUCGUUUCCUUCAACAACUCCUCUCAGGAGUAGGACUUGAUAAUCUUAUUUGUUAAAACUAACAAACAAUUUAAAUAAAUAUAUUUAACAACAAA